AACGAACGCUGGCGGCAGGCCUAACACAUGCAAGUCGAACGCCCUAGCAAUAGGGAGUGGCGCACGGGUGCGUAACGCGUGGGAAUAUGCCCUUCACUGCGGAAUAACGUUUGGAAACGAACGCUAAUACCGCAUAAUGACUCCGGUCCAAAGAUUUAUCGGUGAAGGAUUAGCCCCGCGUUAGAUUAGCUAGUUGGUGAGGUAAUGGCUCACCAAGGCGACGAUCUAUAGCUGGUCUGAGAGGAUGAUCAGCCACACUGGGACUGAGACACGGCCCAGACUCCUACGGGAGGCAGCAGUGAGGAAUAUUGGACAAUGGGCGCAAGCCUGAUCCAGCCAUGCCGCGUGAGUGAAGAAGGCCUUCGGUUGUAAGACUCUUUCUAGAUGUGAGAUAAUGACGGUAGCAUCAGAAGAAGCCCCGGCU
rnacentral:rRNA from 1 species